ACAUGCCCUUGGGGCAGCCUAAAUAAAAUCAUUCUGGCUCUCGAAAUUCUAGUGAAUACAUCUAAAUAUAUAAUUCAAAUUGUCCUGAUGUGGUGAUUGCAUAAUCUCCUGGCUCUCCAUUGCUUGCCAAAUCAAAACGAUUUUAUACGUGGAUUUUGUAGCUGAGUCAACCAACUCGCCUUGGCUGCUGACAUGUUAACAGAGAUGUGCAGCAUCUGUGGAUUCUCGACAGACUGUCGAACAACGCCAGAUCCAUUGGGCAACUUUUAGACUAUUGCGGCCUUAAGCAUAUAGUCCAAUGCUUGAAAUUGUUACGUUAUUAACGUAGUAACGUAACAAUUGCAAGCAUUGCAAGUGUUCAAAUAAAAAGCUACAAGCUGCUCUCAGCUUUGAUCUGUUGCUUGCUAGCGCACAAGGAAGUGUUUAGCCUCUGAGCGCCUGUGAAUGUUGCUGUUGUUAUUGGCUGGAUGGAUGUUUGAUCGCUCUCUAAGCCCACCAGCCAUAAGUGCCCCGCUCAGUUCAGCAUGCAGUUGCUCCCACUUUGGUCAUCUGAGCUCGGCCAAACGCAGUUGCUAAAUCGAAGCAAAACGCACAUAUUUGAAAGCCAAAAUACAUUUUGAUAA